GAGAGCGAGCAGAAGAGUCUAGAGCUCUCAUCCACUUGCUUGUCAGCUCUCGAGACCCAAGACGACCCCUUGGGCUACGCGAAGUCAUGACGCCUCUCAUGCUCACUGUGACUGUGCUGGUGCUCUUGGCCCAGGCCUUCCCAGGCAGCACUGAAAAAUGCUGGAAUCUUCAUGGCAACUGCCGUGAGGAAUGCCAUAAGGACGAAAAAGUCUUUAUUUUCUGCCCGAGCGGCAAUCUGUGCUGUGUGAAGCCCAAGUUCCAGCCGAAGAUAAUACGGCAGUGAAUUCGUGGUUGAAGCCGGAGGGCGCAACGAUGAAGAAAACCCUGCCCUGCGCCUGAGCACGGAGAUUCCUGAGUUUUAUUAAAACACCUUUGGCUGA